rnacentral:rRNA from 1 species
UGGGGAAUAUUGCACAAUGGGCGCAAGCCUGAUGCAGCCAUGCCGCGUGUAUGAAGAAGGCCUUCGGGUUGUAAAGUACUUUCAGCGGGGAGGAAGGCGAUAAGGUUAAUAACCUUGUCGAUUGACGUUACCCGCAGAAGAAGCACCGGCUAACUCCGUGCCAGCAGCCGCGGUAAUACGGAGGGUGCAAGCGUUAAUCGGAAUUACUGGGCGUAAAGCGCACGCAGGCGGUCUGUCAAGUCGGAUGUGAAAUCCCCGGGCUCAACCUGGGAACUGCAUUCGAAACUGGCAGGCUAGAGUCUUGUAGAGGGGGGUAGAAUUCCAGGUGUCGCGGUGAAAUGCGUAGAUAUCUGGAGGAAUACCGGUGGCGAA